UACGGGGGGGGCAAGCGUUGUUCGGAAUUACUGGGCGUAAAGGGCUCGUAGGCGGCCAACUAAGUCAGACGUGAAAUCCCUCGGCUUAACCGGGGAACUGCGUCUGAUACUGGAUGGCUUGAGGUUGGGAGAGGGAUGCGGAAUUCCAGGUGUAGCGGUGAAAUGCGUAGAUAUCUGGAGGAAUACCGGUGGCGAAGGCGGCAUCCUGGACCAAUUCUGACGCUGAGGAGCGAAAGCCAGGGGAGCAAACGGGG
rnacentral:rRNA from 1 species